CCUACGGGGGGCAGCAGUCGAGAAUCAUUCACAAUGGGGGAAACCCUGAUGGUGCGACGCCGCGUGGGGGAAUGAAGGUCUUCGGAUUGUAAACCCCUGUCAUGUGGGAGCAAAUUAAAAAGAUAGUACCACAAGAGGAAGAGACGGCUAACUCUGUGCCAGCAGCCGCGGUAAUACAGAGGUCUCAAGCGUUGUUCGGAAUCACUGGGCGUAAGGCGUGCGUAGGCUGUUUCGUAAGUCGUGUGUGAAAGGCGCGGGCUCAAGCCGCGGACGGCACAUGAUACUGCGAGACUAGAGUAAUGGAGGGGGAACCGGAAUUCUCGGUGUAGCAGUGAAAUGCGUAGAUAUCGAGAGGAACACUCGUGGCGAAGGCGGGUUCCUGGACAUUAACUGACGCUGAGGCACGAAGGCCAGGGGAGCGAAAGGGAUUAGAUACCCGGGUAGUC
rnacentral:rRNA from 1 species